UACGUAGGGUGCAAGCGUUGUCCGGAAUUAUUGGGCGUAAAAGAGCUCGUAGGCGGUUUUGUUGCGUCGGCUGUGAAAUCCCGAGGCUCAACCUCGGGUCUGCAGUCGAUACGAGCAAAACUAGAGUGUUGCAGGGGAGACUGGAAUUCCUGGUGUAGCGGUGAAAUGCGCAGAUAUCAGGGAGGAACACCCGGUGGGCG
rnacentral:rRNA from 1 species